rnacentral:rRNA from 1 species
UACUCGAGUGGCGAACGGGUGAGUAACACGUGGGUGAUCUGCCCUGCACUUCGGGAUAAGCUUGGGAAACUGGGUCUAAUACCGGAUAGGAGCCAUCUUUAGUGUGGUGGUUGGAAAGUUUUUUCGGUGUAGGAUGAGCUCGCGGCCUAUCAGCUUGUUGGUGGGGUAAUUGCCUACCAAGGCGGCGACGGGUAGCCGGCCUGAGAGGGUGUACGGCCACAUUGGGACUGAGAUACGGCCCAG